UCUUGAGUACCAAUAAGAGGUCCAGCCUGCCCAGUGACAAUGUUCAACGGCCGCGGUAUCCUAACCGUGCGAAGGUAGCGUAAUCACUUGUUCUUUAAAUGUGGACUAGUAUGAAUGGCACCACGAAGGUUAUACUGUCUCCUUUUUCUAAUCAGUGAAACUAAUCUCCCCGUGAAGAAGCGGGGAUGAAAUUAUAAGACGAGAAGACCCUAUGGAGCUUUAAACAACAUAGCACUUGCCCUACAAUAUAUAAAUUCCUGAAAAUUUUAAUUUACUGGCAACAUGACUAUAAGUUUUUGGUUGGGGUGACCGCGGAGCAUAACACAACCUCCACGUUGAAAUAAAUCUUUUUAAGCCAAGACUCACAAGUCUAAGCAUCAUUAUAAUGACAUCCAUUGACCCAAUAUACUUGAUCAACGAACCAAGUUACCCUAGGGAUAACAGCGCAAUCCACUUCAAGAGCUCCUAUCGACAAGUGGGUUUACGACCUCGAUGUUGGAUCAGGGUAUCCCAGUGGUGCAGCCGCUACUAAAGGUUCGUUUGUUCAACGAUUAAAAC
rnacentral:rRNA from 1 species